UAUGCCAAAAUACAUCAUGAUUUUCCUGACAAACCAAUAUUUGCCAUGCUUCUGUUUCAUGAGUCAUUAAGAAAUUUGUUUAAAACUUGAGUCACUCCUCUUUCAGCUGGUAGCAGUCGGGUGAAUGCUGUCUGAGGAGCACCCUGUUUACUAAGCUUCAGAAUGUGUUGCCUGGAAAUGCUCAUGAUGGAUUAAGAUGCCGCUGCACUCUGCUUCCUUACUUCUAAGUAGCUAUUGUUAAGAGUAAUCUACUGAGCCUGUCUGCUCAAUUGCUUCUCUGUGGUGCCUUCAGAUCAGUUGGGUCUUCCAGAAUAUCUUAGUGUGCGGAUGAGAAUUGCUUGGAUUCGUACUUAACAUCGCCGUCUCUCCUCCCCUCUCCAUGCCCCAGGUCAUCAGGACUGCCUGGGAUAUUUCCUGCCAAAACUCUGCUACAACUGAGCCCAAGCCCCUCUGACCCUCCCUGGUCGCAUCACCAUGGGAGCGAUGCCAGCUUUAGAGAGCAGAAGGACAGAACUGCCACAGGCCUCACAGGAGGAGAGGGCUGCAGACACGGCUGCUGCCACCUGCAUUCGCCAAGAAAUAAAGAGCCACUG